CCUAUGGGGUGCAGCAGUCGCGAAAACUUCGCAAUGGGGGCAACCCCGACGAGGGAAUUCCAAGUGCUAGCACUUUGUGUUAGCUGUUCUUCUGUCUAAAAAACAGGAGGAGUAAGGGGCGGGUAAGACGGGUGCCAGCCGCCGCGGUAAUACCCGCGCCCCAAGUGGUGGUCGAUAUUAUUGAGCCUAAAACGUCCGUAGCCGGUCUUCUAAAUCCUUGGGUAAAUCGGGCAGCUUAACUGUCCGAAGUCCGGGGAGACUGGGAGACUUGGGACCGGGAGAGGUCAGAGGUACUUCUGGGGUAGGGGUAAAAUCCUGUAAUCCUGGAAGGACCACCGGUGGCGAAGGCGUCUGACUAGAACGGAUCCGACGGUGAGGGACGAAGCCCUGGGGCGCAAACGGGAUUAGAUACCCCAGUAGUCC
rnacentral:rRNA from 1 species